GUCGGGAGCGGACAGCCCGCAUCCCUGGAAAGGCAUCGGCGGCGGGCUGCUGCGGGCCGAGCCGGGGAGACGCUCAGUUAUCGGGUGCUGGCUCCCAGAUAUUUGUUUCGUUUCCUUUUGCGUUUUGGCUUUGUUCCACAUUAGUGGCCCGCCCGAACCUGUAUUCUUUCCAUCAAAGGAGAUGGAGAUUUUCCAGGAUUAUGGGUUCCAGGAGGGCAGUUCACCACCCACUCACCCCCACCCAGAGUGACUGGGGAGCUCUGCAUUUGUGCUGGGACAGGAGAGACAAGACUCGAGCUUAUGCCUCAGGAUCUGCAGUGAAAAGUGAAGGGGCCAGGUCCAGGCACAGGACAUCAGCUCCAUGACCAUGGAAACUCUGUAGAAGUUGCCCACUCUCAACAUCCCAUAGAGCACAAGUUCCAUCUCCACUUGCUGUCAAGAUCUAUAGGAUGUGGG